rnacentral:rRNA from 1 species
UGGUGGGUAGUUUGACUGGGGCGGUCUCCUCCUAAAGAGUAACGGAGGAGCACGAAGGUUGGCUAAUCCUGGUCGGACAUCAGGAGGUUAGUGCAAUGGCAUAAGCCAGCUUGACUGCGAGCGUGACGGCGCGAGCAGGUGCGAAAGCAGGUCAUAGUGAUCCGGUGGUUCUGAAUGGAAGGGCCAUCGCUCAACGGAUAAAAGGUACUCCGGGGAUAACAGGCUGAUACCGCCCAAGAGUUCAUAUCGACGGCGGUGUUUGGCACCUCGAUGUCGGCUCAUCACAUCCUGGGGCUGAAGUAGGUCCCAAGGGUAUGGCUGUUCGCCAUUUAAAGUGGUACGCGAGCUGGGUUUAGAACGUCGUGAGACAGUUCGGUCCCUAUCUGCCGUGGGCGCUGGAGAACUGAGGGGGGCUGCUCCUAGUACGAGAGGACCGGAGUGGACGCAUCACUGGUGUUCGGGUUGUCAUGCCAAUGGCACUGCCCGGUAGCUAAAUGCGGAAGAGAUAAGUGCUGAAAGCAUCUAAGCACGAAACUUGCCCCGAGAUGAGUUCUCCCUGACUCCUUGAGAGUCCUGAAGGAACGUUGAAGACGACGACGUUGAUAG